AAACAUGGGAGGAGCCGGAGGAAUGCAGGACCAGAUGAGGUCAAAGUGCAGCCGAGACAGACAAUGGAGCAACUCCCGAGUCUUGUAGCUGUUCUCAGUAUGCCGAACGUGUGAAACGAGCCAAUGAGAACAGCCGGGGGGAAGCGCAGUGGUGCGAUCACUGGAUAAGUUAUUCUUCGAUAUUCAACCUUCCGAAAAGUUUUUUUUUUCCUUUUUGUUUUUAAAUAUUUUUUUGUCGGGGAAA